UAGACACAUCCUUCAUCUGCAUUCUUUCUCAUCUCCAUUAACAUUCCACAUCAGGUUUGCAAAACCCUAGACACAACCUUCACUUGCAUUCCUGAUUCAAGCCAUUCGAAUUAUUCAGCAUCAGAUUUGGCGGCCACGAUGAUUGGAACUGAUGGUGGUUGGAGAAACGACGAUGUGAGUAGUGGUCAGGGAGACGAAAGGGAUUCAUCAUAGGUAUGUUACAAAACCUUAUGAUUCAGACUAUAAUUAAUCUGGCUCCAUCAUUCUUCGUCUUCUCAACCGUCUAAUAUGAAGGUCAGUUUCCAUCGAUUUUAGGUUUUUUAGAUUUGAGGUUUUCUUUGCAUUUUGAUUUAUUAAGGUUUUUUAUACAUCAGUUAAAUCGUUGAUACUCUAUCCUAUUAAGGAAUUGAUUUUAGGGUUUUUACGCUAAAAUCAUCAUCGGCGACCGUCGCCGUGCUAAUAUCUUCCGAUUAACAUCUGACCAAAGCGUGUAUGUAUUUGUCGGUACGUAUUCCUUUGAGCUACGAAUUGAUUUGAUUCUUUAGAAUGCUCUUAAUUUUUUUGUUUUUACGAUUAGGUUUGCUGGUGUUAUUCGUCAUUAGUUGCUGCUCAAUUGAUGCUCUUAAUAUUGUUAUGGCAUUUGAUAGGUUUCUUCAUAUUUUUUGUGAUUGGCAGUUUGGAGCUUGAUGAACAAGAUAAGCCAAAAUCAGCGGUCUCGAGCUGUUUCUCAGGUUCAUCAUCGU
rnacentral:lncRNA from 1 species